CUUUUGAUUACGGAGUAAAUUUAACCAAUAAUCACUGAACUUUACACUUGGUUACUACUUGCUCACUCAUCUUCCAUAGGUUACUGAAUGCUCACUCAUUUUUCAUAUAAUUACUCAUUCACCACUCGUCUCUUCAAAUAAUUGGGCGACUUUUACGGCAAAUUUUCGACAACUUCCGACCACAAAGAAUGUCGAAUUUUGAUACCGUUGGAAAGCCCACAUUGUCCUCUUCAAUUACCACCCAAAAUCUCAUUAUAACUCCAAGAGAUUCGAUCGGAAAAUUGCCUUAAAAGUUGCCCAAAAAUUCUAAAAAUCUGCCCAGAUUUCCAGAUUUUUUUGGCGACUUUUAAGGUAAUUUUUCGGAAACUUUCGACCAUCAAAACUAUCGAAUUUUGAUACCUUGGAAAGCCCACAAUGUCCUCUUCAAUUACCAUCCAAAAUUUCCCUAUAACUCCAAAGGAUUAGGUCGGAAUAAACCCACAAAGUCAGCAUCUCGAAAAGGCGAAAAUCUGGACAAAGUUCGGGAUGCUGACUUUGUGACUUUAUUCUGACCGAAU
rnacentral:lncRNA from 1 species